ensembl:snRNA LOC120095496 U4 spliceosomal RNA
AGCUUUGAGUGGCAGUAUCGUAGCCAAUGAGGUUUAUCCGAGGCGCGAUUAUUGCUAAUUGAAAGGAGUGGGCCACCACUGCCUGGCUGUGGUGAAAAAUGUUUAAAAGUCAGCUGGUAAAAGGAACAAAAAUCCUAGAAAUAGAAAAUGUAAUUUAAAACCAUUUCAAUAG